CACCGCUUAGAAUAACUACAAUACAAUGGCUUCCAUCUUUAACCUGAGCCUGAUUGCCCUGGUGGUGAUGAUGAUGGCGGCUGGCGCCAUUGCUGAUCCUGAUCCUAAACCUUUCCCUGCGCCUGGCAAAGGCAAAGGCGGGGGCAAAGGAAAGGGCAAAGGACACUGAAGAAAGGCUUGCGAACUGGCUUGAAAAAAUUGGACGGUGAUUAGAUUGGUAAAUUCUAUUUUUUUAUAUCGACGAAAAAUUAAACUAAGUGCGAAAUUAA